rnacentral:rRNA from 1 species
GUGGAAAGGCUUCACGGUAAGCACACAAAAGUCGAGCGGACGAGAAGUGCUUGCCUUCGGCGUCGAGCGGCGGACGGGUGAGUAAUGCUUGGGAAUAUGCCUUGAGGUGGGGGACAACAGUUGGAAACGACUGCUAAUACCGCAUAAUGUCUACGGACCAAAGGAGGGGAUCUUCGGACCUUUCGCCUUUAGAUUAGCCCAAGUGAGAUUAGCUAGUUGGUGGGGUAAUGGCCUACCAAGGCGACGAUCUCUAGCUGGUUUGAGAGGAUGAUCAGCCACACUGGGACUGAGACACGGCCCAGACUCCUACGGGAGGCAGCAGUGGGGAAUAUUGCACAAUGGGGGAAACCCUGAUGCAGCCAUGCCGCGUGUGUGAAGAAGGCCUUCGGGUUGUAAAGCACUUUCAGUCGUGAGGAAAGGGUAGUAGCUAAUAUCUGCUAUCUGUGACGUUAGCGACAGAAGAAGCACCGGCUAACUCCGUGCCAGCAGCCGCGGUAAUACGGAGGGUGCGAGCGUUAAUCGGAAUUACUGUGCGUAAAGCGUGCGUAGGCGGUUUGUUAAGCGAGAUGUGAAAGCCCAGGGCUCAACCUUGGAACUGCAUUUCGAACUGGCAGGCUAGAGUACUGUAGAGGGUGGUGGAAUUUCCAGUGUAGCGGUGAAAUGCGUAGAGAUUGUAAGGAACAUCAGUGGCGAAGGCGGCCACCCUGGACAGAUACUGACGCUGAGGCACGAAAGCGUGGGGAGCAAACAGGAUUAGAUACCCUGGUAGUCCACGCCCGUAUACGAUGUCAACUAGCUGUCUGUGUACUUGAUACGUGGGUAGCGUAGCUAACGCGCUAAGUUGACCGCCUGGGAAGUACGGCCGCAAGUUUAAAACUCAAAUGAAUUGACGGGGGCCGCACAAGCGGUGGAGCAUGUGGUUUAAUUCGAUGCAACGCGAAGAACCCUUACCAUCCCUUGACAUCCAGAGACUUUCUAGAAGAUAGCUUUGGUGCCUUCGGGAACUCUGAGACAGGUGCUGCAAUGAUUGUCGUCAACUCGUUGUCUGUGAAAUGUUAGGGUUAUGUACCCGCCAACGAGGCGCCUACCUCCUAAUCCGUUAUUGGCAUGCGAGUCAGUGUCGCGAACUCUAAGCAAAACUGGCCGGGGAUAAGACCCGCCAGUAG